rnacentral:rRNA from 1 species
GAUGAACGCUGACAGAAUGCUUAACACAUGCAAGUCAACUGUGGCGGACGGGUGAGUAACGCGUAAAGAACUUGCCUCCCAGAUAGGGACAACAUUUGGAAACGAAUGCUAAUACCUGAUACUGUGAGAGGGCUUUGCGUACCAUUAGCUAGUUGGAGAGGUAACGGCUCACCAAGGCGAUGAUGGGUAGCCGGCCUGAGAGGGUGAUCGGCCACAAGGGGACUGAGACACGGCCGUUAAGCCUACGUGUGGCAGCAGUGGGGAAUAUUGGACAAUGGACCAAAGUCUGAUCCAGCAAUUCUGUGUGCACGAUGAAGUUUUCGGAAUGUAAAGUGCUUUCAGUUGGGAAGCAGUACCAACAGAAGAAGGGACGGCUAAAUACGUGCCAGCAGCCGCGGUAAUUC